GGUUUUGGGAUCAAAUUUCUGCAGUCAGAAGAAAGGACAAGAAAGAGAGCGAGGAGAGAUUUUUAUAAUUGCUUUCUACGAAAGUAAAGAGCCAUACACCUCAUAAAUCAGGAAAAGAAAAAAAACCUGCAAAUCCCAACACUAAAAAUCCAGAAUAAUCAUUUUAUGAGAAGUUAAUCAUGAAACGUUAGUCACCAUCUUUCAACUAAAAGAUAAUAGAAGCAAUAUCACAGAUUUUUUCUUUUAAAAAAAAAUAAAGAGAAGGGAAAACGCUUAAAGAUUAACCUGUUGGAUAAAAAUGGAAAAGUUCAACUUACACAUCAGAGAACUUUUCCUCUAAU
rnacentral:misc_RNA from 1 species